AAGCUAAAGGAGUCCUGCGUACGGCGGCGCUACAGUGACUUUGAGUGGCUGAAAAAUGAGCUGGAGAGAGAUAGCAAGAUUGUAGUACCACCACUGCCUGGGAAAGCCUUGAAGCGGCAGCUCCCUUUCCGAGGAGAUGAAGGGAUCUUUGAAGAGUCUUUCAUCGAAGAAAGGAGGCAGGGCCUCGAGCAGUUUAUUAACAAAAUUGCUGGGCACCCACUGGCUCAGAAUGAACGCUGCCUACACAUGUUUCUGCAAGAGGAGGCAAUUGACAGGAACUACGUCCCGGGGAAGGGCACUGGGGAAAAGGAUUGCUGAUUCUGACUGACCGUGAUCAGAGAGAUUAGGAUUGUAUUUUGACAUAGGAUUUGGAACCCAUCUAAAUGUUGAAGUUCCCUGAGACAGCUCUCCAGCUGCUGAGCCUGCGCCAGGGGCUAAGCAGCCCCUAAUGAGAGGCUCUGCUCCCUUUCCCACCUCGCCAAUGUUGUUGUUGCUGCCUUUUUGAUUUGUAUCCUCUGUUAUAGACAUUUUUUAAAAACGAUUUCCUCUUUCAUUGUGCACAAGUGCUGAGAGUCUGAGGCCCCAUUUCUGCUGUGUAUAUAUAUCCUGACUCGGGGCUUUUAUUCAGCAAACUGUUCAUUCUUCUGUCAGACAAUGUCAUAUUCAACUCUGUUCAUAUUAAACCACUGUGAAGCAAGCC
rnacentral:sRNA from 1 species